rnacentral:tRNA from 1 species
GCUUCUUUCGUCUAGCGGUCAAGGACGCCGGCAAGCUCGGGGAGCCAGCCGGAAACGGAGGUUCGAGUCCUCCAAGAAGCGCCA